AUGUACCCACGUACACUCCGGUUCCUCCGCGCCGCCCGCACCCAGCUGACGGCUGCUCGCUACGUUUGGUUAGCC
rnacentral:sRNA from 1 species